UACAGAGGCCCCAAGCAUUAUCCGGAAUCACUGGGCGUAAAGGGUGUGCAGGCGGUCGUAUUAGCCUCUUGUGAAAGACUCUGGGCUCAACCCAGAGGACGCAAGAGAAACGGUACGACUCGAGGACGCGAGAGGUAGAGGGAACUCAUGGUGUAGGGGUGAAAUCCGUUGAUAUCAUGGGGAACACCAAAUGCGAAGGCACUCGUACUGGCGCGCUCCUGACGCUCAUACACGAAAGCGUGGGAAUCGAACGGGG
rnacentral:rRNA from 1 species